GUGUUGUCUGAAAGCCCCUGGACUAACUCCAGUCCCCAACCACCUGUUAGGGUGUCAGCAAAAGGACCUCUGGUGCCUGCCUUCCUUUCUCUUUCUCUCUCUCUCUCUCUUUCUUUCCAGCUGUCAUGGUUCCUGUCUCCUCUCCUGUUAAAUGUUAAGAAUGUUGUUGUAAGCCACAGAAAUAUUGCUGGGUAGAAUGAGCAUUUGGCUUAGUCAUCAGGAGGGUAAAUGAGAACAAUGUGGUGCCUGUCCAUUCUUGGAAGCAAGAAGAAUAUAACAAUUGAGAGUUUUCUUUCCCCUACUGAAGGAACCCAUAUGCAUAGGACAAGAGGCUUUUUCCCCAGGCACCUUCCCCUCCCCUACACUUAAGUUGUAAUUUUGGGAGGCAUCUCAGGAGACCAGGUCCCCAGUUUCCAGGACUCCCUUUCUCUCCCUCGUUUGAGGAGGACCUGGUCCCAUAGCUUCACCUGUUUAUGACAGGGAAGCAAUGGAGGAGUUGCCUUGCUGGUUGCUGGCUGCAAUUUGGUGAGGGCCAACUGAGACUAAUUUAAUGGAUCCAUACACCUUCCUGAGGCAUCUUUUUCCCAAGUUUUGGUUUGAGGCCCUAGAAAGGAAAACUAGAUCUGAGGGAUUCAAAGGCAUAAUACAGCAGAAGUCUAGGGCACAGCACAGGUGAGUAUGACUAAUUCCUGCUGAUUAGGGCCCUUCUGCUUCAUGGAUGGAGGUCAUGCUCACAUCCAUGGCACAGAUAAGGUCUAGGGAACUCAAAGGUUACUGACAGCGGGAGGCUUAGGCACCACACAGUGAGUGCGAAUAUUCCUGCUGGCUAUGCCUCCCCUGCCUUCAUGUGUGAAGGUUGCGCUUGCACCCACAGUCAGCACCUGCACAGGUCACUGGAACUCAGGGAUAUAAGGUCAGAAGAAAGAAAUGGGACACCUUUUUUUCUCUCCCUCACAUACCCUGGGUAUUCACUGGAAGGAGAAAGGAACAAAGGAAUGCCUUUUUCCCUCAUUUCAGAUGGGUAACCAACCAUCCUCAGCCUGCACUCCCCUUGAGUGUAUUCUGAAUCACUGGGACUCCGUUGACCCUCAGACUGUAGAGAAAGAGGAAAAAACCUUUUCCCUCCUCUGUCCUCUCUUCCAGCCAGGCAUGACCAUGUAACAGUUUGGGCUGCUGAGCCAGAAGGGAAAGAGUACUACUGCUAGACUUCCAGGAAGGCUGCUCUAAGAAAGAUGACUCAGAGGUUGCACUUUUUUAGUUUUGGGGGUUUUUUUCCCUCUACUUCCUGCUUCUUGGAACUAGGACAUGAUGUCUGGAACUCUAGCAGCCAUUUUGGACCAUGAGGUGAUUGUGCGACUAGAAGACACAUCGUAGAAUGGAGCACCAAGACGAAAGCCCCCAAAGCUGCCCUAUAAGACCUGGACUUCAAACCAGCAAACUUCUUCCAUGUGAGAGAGAAAUAAGCUUAGGUUUUGUUUCUGCCAGUGUUAUCUUUGUUUUCGGUUAUGAGCCACUAAAUGUGAUCCCACUUGUUACCCCAGUCAUUCUCCCAACUUCCUAGACCCAUUAAUAGCAUUCUACACUCACAGUCCAUCAGUGGUGCAAGACUACAACACGAUUUUAAAUCCAAAAGUGAUAUAAAUGAUUUUGUGAUUCUGUGCUGCUGAGAUAUGUGCUUUUUUCAACUUGCAAAAUAUACUAUUGAAAUCUAUAGUUAAAAAAAAAAGA
rnacentral:lncRNA from 1 species